rnacentral:rRNA from 1 species
ACGGAAGGCAGCAGUGGGGAAUAUUGCACAAUGGGGGAAACCCUGAUGCAGCAACGCCGCGUGAGUGAAGAAGUAUUUCGGUAUGUAAAGCUCUAUCAGCAGGGAAGAUAAUGACGGUACCUGACUAAGAAGCUCCGGCUAAAUACGUGCCAGCAGCCGCGGUAAUACGUAUGGAGCAAGCGUUAUCCGGAUUUACUGGGUGUAAAGGGUGCGUAGGUGGCAGGGCAAGUCAGAUGUGAAAGACCGGGGCUCAACUCCGGGGCUGCAUUUGAAACUGUCUUGCUGGAGUGCAGGGGAGGUAAGCGGAAUUCCUAGUGUAGCGGUGAAAUGCGUAGAUAUUAGGAGGAACACCGGUGGCGAAGGCGGCUUACUGGACUGAAACUGACACUGAGGCACGAAAGCGUGGGGAGCAAACAGGAUUAGAUACCCUGGUA